UACAGAGGGUGCAAGCGUUGUUCGGAAUUAUUGGGCGUAAAGGGCGCGUAGGCGGUGCCACAAGUCACCUGUGAAAUCUCCGGGCUUAACUCGGAGCCUGCAGGCGAAACUGUGGUGCUGGAGUGUGGGAGAGGUGCGUGGAAUUCCCGGUGUAGCGGUGAAAUGCGUAGAUAUCGAGAGGAACACCUGCGGCGAAGGCGGGUUGCUGGGCUGACACUGACGCUGAGGCGCGAAAGCUAGGGGAGCGAACGGG
rnacentral:rRNA from 1 species